CAUUUAUUAUUCAUAAAGCUAGAAUGGCCUUUUUACCAAACACACUCCUGUAUCUUCACAUCAUUAAUUAGUUUAAUUCUGAUGAUCUUCAUCUUUCAGUUUAUCCUGGAGCUGAUAGGAAUGUGAUUGUGAUCGCAGCAACAUCUGGAGGAUUAUUCAUCAUCAUCAUAAUCAUCAUCAUCAUCAUCAUCAUCAUCAUACUAUUUAUAAUGAAAUGGAUAAAAAGAAGAUCUACUACACAAGAGUAUGAGACCAAUGAUCCCAGUGCAAGCUCAUAUGCAGCUCUUGACCUCAAGUCCAGAUCUGAUGACCUUUACAACACACUCACAACUGUCCCUCCCACACCUGCUGUUCACCAGUCGGGAUCUUCUGAAUAUGAGAAUCUGUCAGUAAGUAGGAGAUCCUCAGGUCUUCUCAAUAUAAGCAGUAAAAGUCCUCACUACUAGUCACUAGAUACUCUAC
ensembl:lncRNA